rnacentral:rRNA from 1 species
AUUGAACGCUGGCGGCAGGCCUAACACAUGCAAGUCGAGUGAGCGGCGGACGGGUGAGUAAUGUCUGGGAAACUGCCUGAUGGAGGGGGCUAACUACUGGAAACGGUAGCUAAUACCGCAUACCAUCAGAUGUGCCCAGAUGUGAUUAGCUAGUAGGUGGGGUAACGGCUGCCCUAGGCGACGAUCCCUAGCUGGUCUGCAGGGAUGACCAGCGACACGGAAACUGAGACACGGUCCAGACUCCUACGGGAGGCAGCAGUGGGGAAAAUUGCACAAUGGGGGCAAGCCUGGUGAAGCCAUGCCGCGUGUGUGAAGAAGGCCUUCAGGUUGUAAAGCACUUUCAGCGGGGAGGAGUUACCCGCAGAAGAAGCACCGGCUAACUCCGUGCCAGCAGCCGCGGUAAUUC